ACUCCCAGGUGUAGCAGUGAAUGGGUAGGGAUCUGGAGGAACACGGAUGGCGAAGGCAGCCCCCUGGGCCAGCACUGACGCUGAUACACGAAAGCGUGGGGAGCAAACAGUAUUAGAUACCCUUGUAGUCCACGCCCUAAACGAUGGCAACUAGUUGUUGGAGGAUGAACUCCUUUAGUAACGCAGCUAACGCGUGAAGUUGCCCGCCUGGGGAGUACGGUCGCAAGAUUAAAACUCAAAGGAAUUGACGAGGGCCCGCACAAGCGGUGGAUGAUGUGGUUCAAUUCGAUGCAACGCGAAAAACCUUACCUACCCUUGACAUGCCAGGAAGCCUGAUGAAAGUUGGGUGUGCCCGAAAGGGAACCUGGACACAGGUGCUGCAUGGCUGUCGUCAGCUCGUGUCGUGAGAUGUUGGGUUAAGUCCCGCAACGAGCGCAACCCUUGUCAUUAGUUGCUACAUUUAGUUGGGCACUCUAAUGAGACUGCCGGUGACAAACCGGAGGAAGGUGGGGACGACGUCAAGUCCUCAUGGCCCUUAUGGGUAGGGCCACACACGUCAUACAAUGGCGCAUACAGAGGGAAGCCAACCCGCGAGGGGGAGCAAAUCCCAGAAAGUGCGUCGUAGUCCGGAUUGAAGUCUGCAACUCGACUUCAUGAAGUCGGAAUCGCUAGUAAUCGCGGAUCAGCAUGUCGCGGUGAAUACGUUCCCGGGCCUUGUACACACCGCCCGUCACACCAUGGGAGUGGGUUUCACCAGAAGCAGGUAGCCUAACCGCAAGGAGGGCGCCUACCACGGUGGGAUUCAUGACUGGGGUGAAGUCGUAACAAGGUAACCA
rnacentral:rRNA from 1 species